UACAGAGGUCUCAAGCGUUGUUCGGAAUUACUGGGCGUAAAGGGUGCGCAGGCCGCGCGGGCAGUCAAAUGUGUAAUCCAGGGGCUCAACCCCUGAACUGCGCUUGAUACUUCCGCGCUAGAACUUUGGAGAGGAGUCUGGAAUUCUCGGUGUAGCAGUGAAACGCGUGGAUAUCGAGAAGAACACUUAGGGCGUAGGCAAGACUCUGGACAAAUGUUGACGCUCAAGCACGAAGGCUAGGGUAGCGAACGGG
rnacentral:rRNA from 1 species